rnacentral:rRNA from 1 species
GACAGAGGGUGCAAACGUUGUUCGGAAUUACUGGGCGUAAAGCGCGUGUAGGCGGCUCGGAAAGUCGGGUGUGAAAGCCCUGGGCUCAACCCAGGAAGUGCACUCGAAACUCCCGAGCUCGAGUCCCGGAGAGGAAAGUGGAAUUCUCGGUGUAGAGGCGAAAUUCGUAGAUAUCGAGAGGAACAUCUGUGGCGAAGGCGGCUUUCUGGACGGUGACUGACGCUGAGACGCGAAAGCGUGGGGAGCAAACAGG